UGGGGAAUAUUGCACAAUGGGGGAAACCCUGAUGCAGCGACGCCGCGUGGAGGAUGACGGCCUUCGGGUUGUAAACUCCUUUUGUCAGGGACAAUGGUGAUGGUACCUGACGAAUAAGCCACGGCUAACUCUGUGCCAGCAGCCGCGGUAAGACAGAGGUGGCGAGCGUUGUUCGGAAUUACUGGGCUUAAAGGGCGCGUAGGCGGUGGUGUAAGUCUGGGGUGGAAUGCUACAGCUCAACUGUAGAGCUGCCGUGGGAACUGCAUUACUUGAGGCGGUGAGAGGAUGGCGGAAGUCCUGGUGUAGCGAUGACAUGCGUAAGUAUCAGGAGGAAGGUCUGUGGGGAAAGCGGCCUGCUGGCACUUGACUG
rnacentral:rRNA from 1 species